ACUGAUUGGCUGCAGAGCGCGCCCCGCCUCACCCGGAAGCACGCGGGGACGGAAAAGACGGGGGAGGGGGCGGUGCCUUGGCUUGUGGGUGGCCUGGAGGCUCGCGCUUCAAACUCUCGCUGCCUCCUCAACGGCCUGCUAAGCCAGGCCUCCCGUGCUGCGUUACCUCCUGUACCAGCCCCUCACCACCGCUCGACACAACGGGCCAUUGCGCGGACCCCGCCGCUAAUUGGCCCGGGGGCUAGCGCCAGGCAGCCGGCUUUUCGCCGAAGCAGGGCUUUGGCAUCGACAGGCUGCGAGCUCGCAUCACUCCCCCAUCUCGGCACGCGCUGGGCGGGGUGGACAGGUGGCUUAGCCUUGGGUUCGCGCUUGGACACAUCCAAUAAGGAGAGAGGGCGCUCUAAGGAGGCGGGCAUUGCUCCGCCGGUGCCGCUGUUGACUGGUCCCGAGUCUGGCUUUUACCUUUGAUUGAUCGGAGGUCCGGGAGCGGAAGCCCAGACCAAAGAUUUCAGGCUGCUGGAUUCCGCCCUUAUGCUUUAGCUCAAGCUCCGAGAUUCUGCGGACUGUGUCUGGCGCCUUCUUCCCGGCAGCUAGCUGGGGAUCUGGGCGGGAGAAGAAAUUGAUUUAUUUAAGUAUCUCACCCUACAGCUAGAGCAGUGUCCGGAGUGCUGACAGGUGUGAUCCUGCGGAAUCCUCACAGUCACCCUAGGAAGAGACAUAAUGGCAACACACAUUGAAACAGACAACCUGCUCAGCAAGGACUAGAAAGAUACACGGUUUUCCCCACUUCCUUAACUACUUUUGACGUUGCCCCCACCCCACCUUGAGGUCUUGGCCACCUGAACAAGGCAACCAUUUCUGCCUUACCCAACGGAUAGUAUUUUUCAAUACCCAACAGGAAUCCAGCAGGGGAAGAAGUCACUUAGCAGUGUUUUUUUCUGUUUAAAAACCUGUAAACUUAGUGUGAUUGUGAAAACCUUGUGGAUCGCAUUCCCUUUAUCCAGUGUAUGGAUGCAUGAGUAGAAAAAAUGGGGACAAAACCUAAAUGAAAAAUA